rnacentral:misc_RNA from 1 species
GUGAAGAACGUAGUGAAAUGCGAUAAGUAAUGUGAAUUGCAGAAUUCAGUGAAUCAUCGAAUCUUUGAACGCACAUUGCGCCCGCCAGUAUUCUGGCGGGCAUGCCUGUUCGAGCGUCAUUACAACCCUCAGGCCCCCGGGCCUGGCGUUGGGGAUCGGCGGAGCCCCCCGUGGGCACACGCCGUCCCCCAAAUACAGUGGCGGUCCCGCCGCAGCUUCCAUCGCGUAGUAGCUAACACCUCGCGACUGGAGAGCGGCGCGGCCACGCCGUAAAACACCCAACUCUUCUGAAGUUGACCUCGAAUCAGGUAGGAAUACCCGCUGAACUUAAGCAUAUCAAUAAGCGGAGGA